ensembl:lncRNA
GGCUAGUCUUGGCACCUGGUCUUGGCCUUCUGAAUGUCCCUAUUCAGGCAGAGCUAUUGUGCUUUGACUUUUUGCUUCACCUUAAUCCAAAUGAGUUUUCAAGUUCAGACAAGCCCUCUGGUUGUUCAUAACUUUAACUACAUGGGACAUUACACAGGCACCUACAAACUGGCAGAAUCAGGCCCUUCACUAUUGUCUUAAGCCCGGUUUUGAAAAGAAUAUGGCACUGUUGCUUAUGGGUUUGCCAAAGCAAACUGUGACCUGGCAUCUGAAAAAAGCAAGGAGUCUGGGACGCGUGGCAACAACAGAUGUCUGCCGUGCAGCUGGGACAUGAACAAAGUCAGAGGGAGGAUCUGCAGGAGGCUGUGGAAAGGCAAACACUGGUCUGCCUCUUCUGGAGUGCCGUGCUUCAGGAUUAGCGACAGACAGACCUUCUGCAGCUCACGACAUUUACCUACUGUAUUUUCUUUAACAGCUGAAGUAAUGACAUCUUAUUGACAGCACAGCAGAGCAAACAAUGUCUUACUGAAAGCUUCAGUGCUGGAUUUGGGCCGUCCUAAGGACCUGAGACCAAGUAAAGUAAGCAGGUUUUGCUACUGAAUGAAAGACAAUGACUGUUCUAGUUCACCGGUGGCCUUUAGCACUCCUAGACACAAAAAAGAUUUAUGAGUCCAAAAUGUUUUAUAUUGCACAACCAGGGAAACAGAAGACCUUGGGAAGUUUCCCACAAACAGGUUUAAAAGCCUGAGAAAAGCUGGAGGGAAGCAUGUUCACCUGAGGCUCAGAAAAAUCAGAGUGAGAUCCUUAUGUCAAUGUAUAAUUAUCUAAAAUGACAAUAUAAAAUCAUUUUAUUAGAGGAAAUUCUGGAGUCCUUUUCAGCCAGUGUCCAGUAGUUGGAUAAGCUUGAAGGUAAGAAGCUUGAAGGUAAGAAGGUCUUGUUUGAAUCAAGAUCUUCAGCAUCCCAGGAUGGGUAAUGGUCAUGCACCCAAAGCAAGAAGAAGAGGAGAGACAUUCCUCCCUGAUAGUCUUUUCCCUUCUCCUCCUCCUGUUUCCUCCCAGCUUAGAGCAGAAAUGCAAUAGUUUAGCCAAGAACAUUUCUGCAAGAGUUUCUGUGUGACAAUAACAAAAAAAUAUAUUUUAUAUGAACAAACUCAGUGUAAAUUAAUUCAUUUUUUGAUGAAAAUACAAAUGAAAAGAAUCUGAGUAGGUAAGAUUUUUCCUCCCAUAGAAAUAUGUGAACAAAUAAAUACAUGUAGAUCUAAAAUCUAUGGAUUUUAACAGAGUGAAAAUUUGCAUUAAUCUACAAAACCCUGCUGCUGAAGUAUUGUUGCUAAAGUAUAUAUAAGACCAUAACAUACAGGAGGUAUCACCAGAAGCCAUAGCUUUGUCAUGCAAUUUGGCUGAAAUCUAGAAGUAAAGUAGUAAAAAUACAGAUGUCAUGUGACCCUUUCCCAUUAGUGACAUUAUCUCGUAAUUUGAAUCAUAGAAUUAUAGAAUGGCCUGGGUUGAAAAGGACCACAAUGAUCAUCGAGUUUCAACCCCCCUGCCAUGUGCAGGGUCGCCAACCACCAGACCAGGCUGCCCAGAGCCACAUCCAGCCUGGCCUUGAAUGCCUCCAGGGAUGGGGCAUCCACAGCCUCCUUGGGCAACCUGUUCCAGUACGUCACCACCCUCUGUGUGAAAAUUUGAGUCUAUUCAUAGUUCAGAAGUGGGUUACCAUCUGAGAUUAAAAAUUUUAACUGUCAAAGAGAGUUGAUUUUAAGAUUUUCAUUCCCCUUUUAGGUGAAUUUUAGUGUUUAUAUCUGCCAGGAAUGUGGGUUUGGUUUUUAUCCUUGCUGCUCCUGAGCUUUGAGGAAAACCUGAUCAGCACUUUAUACUUUAUUUUUUUUUUUAGUAAUUUAUAGAAGGAUGGAAAGACCCAUUGCUUUUAUAUCAUUGAGUAAAAAAAAAAACUACGUAGGUACCGAGUGUUUCUUUUGUUUUGCACAUGUAAAUGUAAGUGUUUAGAGGGAUUUUUAGAUGAUCAUAGAUGUGCUUUUGGAUCUAAUUCUUAAGUAUGUACCAAAUGUGACUUAACAAAUUUUCAAGAUUGUAAGUUGGAGAAAAGCACAAUAUGUAAUGACCUUACCUUCAACACACAUGAACAGACAACACUCGAGUACUCCCUUUGGAUACUUAUUUUGGACACUUAGCUCACUUGCAGUGUCUGCAAAAUUUUCUGAUACACAUUUCACGUUUGUUAGUGGUGAUUUUAGACUACAGAUAUGAGCAGAAGGUGCUGCAGGAGGCAAAGCACUAACCCACACUGCUUUGGAUUUCUUCUCGAAUCUCCUUUCCUCAUUGCAAAACCAGACCGGUUUUAAUCACUCUAGCACAAGUGUGCAGUGCCUCGGGAUAGCCCGGGGUGAGCUGUGCUCCCGCUGCAGGAAUUGCUGUGCGCUGCCCGCUCCUGGCACCAUGGGGGCCCUGCAGCACCACAUGGCCUCUGAAGGCAUCUUCCAGUCUUGGAGGGUUUUCUGACCCCAUGCUGUGCUGCCAGCAGAGCCAUCUCUUUUGGAAGUUUUUUAAAUUAUCCCGGGUACUGCUGACUGGAAAGUUUUCAACAGUACGUAUUCUUUUCAGAAAAUAAAGUAAAAUAAAAUAAAAUAAAAUAAAAUAAAAUAGAAUGCCAGUUCAUCAAAAAAGGAACUUUAAACAGAAGUCUGUUGAGAGCAAAAUGAGAGAGAUGAGACAAAGAUCAUUUUCCUUCGAGAAAGUGGAAUUUCUGCUCUAGUCAGGAGAGACUGAAAGCCCUGGCCCCGCACAGCAGCAUCCUUACCUGCAAUAACCAUUACCUUCACAUCUGUGCAACUCAUCUGGCAGAAACAGCCUGGGGUUGAGUCCCCGACACACAGAAUCCAAAUUAGAUCUGUUAUUUCUACAGCCAGAUAAGAAGGCGAUGCUGCUACAACGGCCCACCACACCAUCAAUCUCAGUGCUGCGCUUUCCCCAGUCACACUUGCAUUCCUGUGUUGAAAGAACCACUGCAGCACUGCAAGAUCUGUCUUUGUUCCACAUUUUCUCAUAUAUUAAUAUGUUGGAUGCCAUUAUCCUGGGGAAAACUGGCUGUUUGCAAGAGCUCCAUUUCAGUAGUAGCUUUUCAAGACUUUUUUGGUCGUACAACUUAAAAAUCAUACCAUCAAUAGCAUUUCUCAUAAAAUGGAUGCCACCAGCCCACAAACACCCUCUGUGAUGGCCAUUUGGAGACAUGAGGAGGUCACAGCCACCAUGAGAUACCCUUGCAGAGCUGGCAGCACUAGGGCUGAGGUUGCAAUCCCCAUGAAGGUAGCCCUGAGGUGGUCAGUGGAUGGAGGGUCUAACCCUAUCCUUUUGGGUCUAACCACACCUGCCAGGAGAUGUUUUUGAGCCUUCAUUUUCAAGUUCCCCACAGCAUCCACAGUACCACUGGUAUGCAGCAUAUGGCCUGUGCAGUAACAAAUGAGGAGAUUUUAAAGGGACUUUUCUAAGCUUUGUGACCCACCCAGAACCAGGUGAUGCUGUCAUCCUCCCAAAGUUAAACUUGUUCCCUCACACUUUUGUGAUCUGGGUAUGUCUCUCUUGGACUAGUAAAUGGUAAUUUAAUGGGUUGUUUCCUCCAAUAUCCCACUUGUGCCGGUUAAAUGCAAUACAAUUUACCUGUCUGAUGGAUCAGGAGAGCAAUUCCUCCUCAUGUAAUGUGAAGCUUAUAAGUCCCAUACCUCUGCUCUGCCCAUAAAGGUGCAAUAUAGAGUUUCUCUGUUCUUUCAUAAGACAGGGCAAAUAGGAACAAGGCAGCAGCUGGGUAGUUUUCUUCUAUAUUCAUUUAUUUAUCUGUUGCACUCCUGAUUUUUGGUGCUUCACGUUUGCUGCUGCUGUAGUGAAGCCAAGACACACACACACACAUCUCCUCAUUCCUACAGCUCCAUGUAAAGCCAGCCUUAGUGAAGCUUAGCACUGCCUGUAUGUCGAAGGGAUACCUGCUGGCAGCCAGCAGCAGAGUCCAUUUCUAAAUUGAGGUGUGCACUGAAAAUGGGCUGCAAAAUAAUGCUGUUAGUGAGCAUGUUAAAGAGGAGCAGUUAUUAGCAGUCUUUCAGCUGAGUGCUAAGCUGUACUGAACAGAAUAAGGACAAGAGCAUUUCAUAACUGAGGCAGUACAAGUUACAUUAUAAAUUUCAAUGUCAUGCUACACAGUUACAUUAAAUUAUUUUCCCCAUAUUUUGAGUUAUCCCCUCUUUCCUUAGACAGGGCAUUCUCCUAUGCAAAAUCAUUACAAGCCUAUUAGCAUGAAAAGGCAAAUGUCUAUGAAUAUUAAUAGAAUAUGAAUGCAUACUGUUACACUUGUCCUCCUCCCUUUGUAUGGGCCAGGCCCAUUUCCAGAGGUGGGCUGACAGUGCAGGAGUGGAGCCUGGCUGACCCUCCUCGCUUUUAGCAGUGUGGGCAUCUUUGUAGGUUAACCUUUGCAUCCAUAUGCUGAGGUGCUGAUUAUGAGUCUCCAAUUGUGAAAAUCUCUUAAGAUAGAAAGGUGGUGGUUUCUGUCUUCUUCCUUCCAGCUGACUUGAGACAAUUUUUCACAGUCUAAAAGCAGAUUACUUUUAUUCUGGAAAAGAACAAUAUGGAAGACAUCAAUAGAUGUGAGUUAGAAAGGUGAUUUCUUUAGAAUUAUAUAAUCCUUAAAGUUGGAAGGGACCUCUGAAGGCCACCUAGUCCAACUCCCCUGCAAUGAAUAGCAAUAUCCACAGCUAGAUCAGGCUGCCCAGGGCCUAUCCAGCCUCACUUUGAAAGUCUCCAGGGAGGGGCCAUCAACCACAUCACUGGGCAACCUGUUCCAGAUCCUCGCCACCCUCACUGUAAAAGAUUUUUUCCUUAUACCCAGCCUAAAUCUACCCUCCCUGAGCUUGAAACCAUUUCCCCUUGUUCUAUCACCACAGACCCUGCUGAAGAGUCUGUCCCCUCCUUUCCUAUAUCUCCCCUUUAGAUACUGAAAAGCCGCUAUCAGGUCACCUCACACCUUCUCUCCUUCAGGCUGAACAGCCCCAGCUCUCUCAGCCGGUUCUCUUAGGGGAGGCGUUCCAUCUCUUGGAUCAUUUUGUGGCCCUUCUCUGGAUGUGCUUCAACAGCUCUAUGUCUCUCCUGUACUGAGGACUCCAGAUCUGGACAUGUCUUUACUCUGUCUACUAUUUUACUAUUUUGCCCACAUACAUACUCAGUUAUCAUGUGAGCAUCCCAAAAUGCUGUCAACCUCCCAUAAACUGGGAUGUAUGUGGCUGCCUGUGUUCCUCAGAUGAACUCACCUGAGUGAGUUCGUACCUGCAGACCUCUGAGAACAUGAGGAGCAGAAGGCCAUUCCAUCAAACCACCCCAACACCUACUUUGCAGCUGUUUUUUCUCUCUAGAUCUCCUCUACAAACCAUUUCAAGUGGAAUGACAUGAAUUGGGCGAGAAACAUGAGAAGUAAAAAAUCAAAUAAAAAGAUAGCAAAAAGUACGGUAAGGGAAAUUUAAAACCCAAUGAAAAGAGCCAUGUUUGCAGAGCGCGUCCCAUCCCAUCCAGCUGCUUCCCUUUGAACUUGGGGUGCCCCAGUUUCUGCGGGGGCCUCAGCGGUCAGGGAAUCGCUGCAGCCGGGCCCUUUGAUAUGAAAAGUGAAGGCUCUGCAGGAGGAGGGAAGGGAGUGCCUGAGUGCCUCGCACGCCUCCAGCCUGUCCUUUUUGGAGGGAGGUUGUUGAUUUCUUGUUUGAAGUGAUAAGCACAGACACAGUGAAAGCUCUGUGUCUGGGUCUCCAUGCUACACACCUAAGCUAAAAAUAAGUCUACAAAGCUCAUCAGAGAAAGUAGUACUGCAUCAGCCAGGCAGUGCGGAGGCUACUCUGGUAGCUUUUCUUCCUGUGAUUGCUUACAAGUUUGAGUUUGCUUUGAAAACUAGACGGUACUUCAAAACACAGGAGAUUUAAGAAUAAAAUUCCCAUUAGCAGCUGUUAUCAAGAAUUAUCAGGGCAAAUCCCUUCAUACUAAGACAAGAACAAACUUCUAAAAUUCAAAGGCUCUCAUAGGAAGAAAAAAAAGGAAAAGCCCCACAGAUAAGACCUUCACUCCCCCCCCUCCCCCCCCCCCCCCUCAACACACAUGUUCAUCUGCAGGGCUCAGCCCCCACCAGCAGGGGCUACAGUAUCUCACUAUCACGCACAAAGUGACCGAAUACCAACUGAACUGCAGUAACACGUAGUGCAUGUGCGUUGCCAACCCUCUGCAAAUGCGUGAUUAAAUGUGUUUGCUCUGACUCACUUUCAUUACUUGGCAAGAUGCUGUUUCUCACGCUGGCCACUGGGUAGGGACGUGUUGUGCUCGGUUCAGGUGGUGCGUGCUGAGGGCUCCACUCGUGCAGCUGGCUCCCUGCUGUGGCUGAAGCAUGGUACCCAAUCCUGGCCUUUCCCAGGGCUGCACACUUGCUCUCUCUCCUUGUGCUGUUGUCUCCCUUCUUAAUCAGUGAAGCUACGAUCAAAUCUCUUAGCCAAAUAGUAUAGUGCAUAGUACUACAACAUAGCACAGGAACUGUAGCGAGUGCCCCAGCCAGUACGGCCAACCUGCACCAGGUUGCUUGUACUCCUUUGGGACCAGUGCAUAUUCAAAAAAGAGAAAUGGGACUCGUUUCAGUUGGGAAAGCUGCAUUUCACAUUGUCUUAUCACCUGCUUAGCAAAGUCAUUGUUGUAGACAGAUAUAUGAAUGAUAUUUUUAAUUAUAUCAAACAGGCCAAAAAAAAAAAAACAAGAAAAAAGAAAAAGAAAGAGAAAGAGAAAAGAAAAAGAAAAAGAAGAAAAAGAAAAAAAAAAAAGAAAAAGAAAAAAGGAAAAGAAAAAGGAAAAGAAAAAGAAAAAGAAAAAGAAAAAGAAAAAGAAAAAGAAAAAGAAAGAAAAAGAAAAAGAAAAAAGGAAAAGAAAAAGGAAAAGAAAAAGAGAAAGAAAAAGAAAGAAAAAGAAAUAAGGAAAAGGAAAAGAAAAAGAAAAAGAAAGAAAAAGAGAAGAAGAAGAAAGAAAAAGAAACUAAGCUGAGUGUCUCACAUCUAAAAGUGGAACCCAAUUGUCACUUGCUGCAGUGACAGUCAGUUGGCUCAGAUCACCAUCCAAGCAGAUGAGUGUUCCUGUUUUUUUGUCAUGUUAUGUUUCUGACUGCAGUGUGACCACAUCAGCUCAGCAGAGCCCAAGGCAAAUAAAUACCAGCGGUAGGAAUGGCAGGGUGCAAAGUGCUUCAUUCAGAGGAAGCAACGAACUGCUAGGACAGCUCAAGACAUGUAAUGUAUUUUAGCCUGUUUAUCUUUGUGGCUUUCAAGCUUUGAUGACUCCGGUGUUACAUUAGUUCAUAAAUGAUUAAAAAAAAAAAUGCAUGUGGUCUUUUCAGCCAUAGGAAUGGCUUGUGCAGAGAUGUAACUAAGACAGAAGAGCACAGGAAGAGCCCUUUUAAAAACAUAGUCCACUGUGUGACAUGAAAUUAUUUGCACAAGUUUCUCUUCCAAGCAGUGCCUUGCUGGUUUUGAACUCAAGGAGUUGAAGGCAUUUGGAAAAAUGUCUAAGCUGCUGCUUGGAGAUUGAUUCUUCAAAACUGCCAAAACUGCAAAUCCACUAAUGUGCCACAGAAAUUGAGAAUUAGCAGUGUCUGCCUUGGAGAUCUUCCAAACACAGAGAUAAUACUACGAAAAAAAUGGCAGAAAAGAAAUGAGAAAGAACUAGAAAUCUUUCACGUCCUUCACAGUGGAUAUACCACAGCUCCAUGCAGGAAGGAGUGUGGAUGUGUUUCUGCUUCCCUUGUGUCCCCCCAGUCCCACAGCACCACUGCUGGCACUGAAACCUUCGGCACACUGUGAGGAACCUACCCAGCCCCUCCAUGGGGACAUGCGGCACAAAGCCACUGCAGCAUUUUAGUUGGGCUCUCCCUUCUUCAGGAACUCAUGCUGGAUGAUGUCAACCUUUGUGGUUAACAGCUUAUUUAAUAAAAUAUUGAUUUUUUUUUUCCCCUCGUGCUGUAGGAAAUAAGACCUUCAAGCACGUUGAUGAAGUACUUUAGUUUCCUUAAAUUCUUUCCAGGGUCUUAACUGAAAGUCUGAAUCCUAAACUAGACGUUUCCCAUUCAUUUAUGCUCACAUUUCCUGCAAGUCCUAUAAAGUAUGUGCACCAAGUUGGCCGAUGAAGGAGCACACCACAACUUUUUUGAUUUCUCCAGAGGUAGAGGUCCACCAUCAGCUGUGCAUGGAAAAAUCUAUGAGUGUGAUUUUGAGAGGAAAAAGCCCUUACAAACAGCACUGGGGUAAAGCAUGGGGCAAAGCAUCAAUAUCUGUAAUAGCUUCUUGCCGACCAAAACUAAACAAAGUGGAAAUGAAAUGGUUUGUAUAUCUCACACAAGAAGCAUAUGUAAUUUGGAUAGUGUAAACUGCAAUUAAGCAGUGCAUGUGAGAAACAUACAUCAUUUGCAUCUCAUUAAUGAAUAAUAAAAUUAGUAUUAGAGAUGAGGAUGUACUACAAGCUGAGGUAUAGAGAUUUGGUUUAUCCCUAAAACAAAGAUUUUGAAAACAGAAACCAUUACAUUUUUAAAUAAUAAAGGAAAAUAAAGAGUAUCUGUAGGGUUCUGAAACAGUAUUUAACUGAAGGCCUAAUUUUCUAAAAUACAGAACAAAAAGACACUAUAAAGACUUUAUUUCAAGAAUACACAUGGUAUUCCUAAUAGUGUUCACUAUAAUGCAGAAUGGUACUAAGGAGUAACAGUACGCCUUGCUGAUGACAUCUAGGAAUUGUACCUGUACUGAUAAAUUCUGAAAUGAAGUAGCAUCAUCUGAAAUACAGAAACCUCAGUUUAAAAAUUUCUUUAUCUGCUAAGUUUGUAAUUUAAUCUUUCACAAAAUAAAUGGAUUGAAAUCAAAUUCUGCUUUUUUUUUUUUUUUUUUUUUU